AGCGAACGCUGGCGGCAGGCUUAACACAUGCAAGUCGAACGGGCUUCUUCGGAAGUCAGUGGCAGACGGGUGAGUAGCACGUGGGAACGUGCCCUUCGGUUCGGAAUAACUCAGGGAAACUUGAGCUAAUACCGGAUACGCCCUUUUGGGGAAAGGUUUACUGCCGAAGGAUCGGCCCGCGUCUGAUUAGCUUGUUGGUGGGGUAACGGCCUACCAAGGCGACGAUCAGUAGCUGGUCUGAGAGGAUGAUCAGCCACACUGGGACUGAGACACGGCCCAGACUCCUACGGGAGGCAGCAGUGGGGAAUAUUGGACAAUGGGCGCAAGCCUGAUCCAGCCAUGCCGCGUGAGUGAUGAAGGCCUUAGGGUUGUAAAGCUCUUUUGUCCGGGACGAUAAUGACGGUACCGGAAGAAUAAGCCCCGGCUAACUUCGUG
rnacentral:rRNA from 1 species